GUUCUGAUAACUACACAUGAGGGCCCACACCUCUGUGCUGGCAGUUAAAGCGUGACAUAAGCACUAGUUCCACAGAGUGGCUCCACAACAGUUACUGCCCAUCAGUCAUUCUUCAACUCAUCAAAGAGAGAGAGUAUUAGCAACGGGAGAGUUGCUGAGAGGCUGCCAUUAAGGGAUCAGCCAUGCUUGGAGGCAUCCACACAGAUUUGUUGGUCACAGUGACUCUACUCUUUCUAACUCAGACAGGGACUGAGUGCAGGGCUGAAAAUGACUUUUCAUUGGUUACAUUACCAGAGUGGAGGACAAAUUCAGAAUAUGUUACACAGUGUUUCUACAACAGACACAACAAUCUGACUUGUGAUUGGACAAGGAACCAACUAAGAAUAGAGGAUGUUGCAGUGAACAUCUUAGAGAGUGGUCCACUGGGGCUGGAGGGCGAGGCCUGUCUAGAGUUUUGGUAUCAAACCCCGGUUGCAGCUAAUGGGUCAGAACUUCGCGCUCUGCUAAAAAGCAGCGUUGGUCUGGUAGAAAUCUGGACCUCACCUGCCCUUCCCAGGGAUUCUUGGAGACAAGUGUUUGUCCCUUUGCACAUCAUCGAACCAGGGACUCAGGUUGUAUUUGAAGCAGUUCAAGCAGUGUCCAUGGAAGAACAGGUCACAUUUAAACGGAUAGGUGUAAGGAGAGGCUCAUGUGGACAACAGUGUGAAUCUAACACAGAGUUCUGGACAGAUGAGUCCACCCACUGCCUCUGCUCUGUUGGCCAGCUCUCCUGCUCUCCCUCUCAGUGCCCUGAGGGCCAAACCUGUGGUCCCCAAAGAGGAAGCUCCAGAGGGAUUUCUGUCUCUGGGACGUGCACUAUACACAGUCACACAGACUGCAGCACUUUUGAUAGAGUGCUGUUCCGCUUCAUGGCCCCCUGCACCUACAUACUGGCUAAGACCUGCUCACCCUCUGAGGCUCUGCCCAUGUUCAGUGUGGAAGUGGUCAAUGAGCAGAAUGGGAACUCAUCUGUGCCAACCGUUCAACAGGUCAUUGUGAACAUGGGGAACUCUAGAGUGUCCCUGCUGAAAAGGCAGACACACAGGGUUGUGGUUAAUGGUGUCUGGAGGAAGCUUCCACUGAGCCUCAGCAAUGGCACUGUGUACAUCAUAAGCAACCCUGCUGCUGUUAAAUUGGGUACCAGCUUCGGUCUUUCUGUCUCAUAUGACAACGCUGGUGAUGUCCAUGUCAACUUGCCAUCCACUUACUCUGAUAAUGUCUGUGGCUUGUGUGGAAACUUCAACCAGCUCAGAGAAGAUGACUUCAGAAAGCCAGAUGGUACAAAUGCCCAAGAUGCUACAGCUUUGGCUGAGAGUUGGCAGACCAGGCAAACCACCUCCUCCUGUGAAACCAUUCUAGUUCCUCAUCAGUGUGACCCACUGGAAGAGGCUGAGUAUGCCAGUGAGCUGUACUGUGGAGGCCUCCUCUCUAGUACUGGGCCCUUUGCGGACUGCCUAUCAGUUCUGGGGGCAGAGAGCUACUUCAGGGGCUGUAUGGUCGGCAUGUGCUCUAGUCAUGGUGACCCAGCGGUGCUAUGUGAGACAUUACAGGUCUACACUGAUAUCUGCCAGGAGGCUGGAGUUGCCAUACCCAUUUGGAGGAACUCUACAUUCUGCCCCCUUCGGUGUGGGGAGAACAGCCACUACAACUCAUGUGUUGAUGGCUGUCCCGAAGUGUGCUCCAGCCUGGAUAUAGCUGGCUCCUGUGGAAACUGUGAGGAAAGAUGUGAGUGUGACUUCGGCUUCAAACUCAGUGGGGGAAAGUGUGUCCCAGCAGAAAACUGUGGAUGCUGGUACAAUGGAAAACACCAUGAGAAAGGAGAAACAUUGUUGGAAGGAGAGUGUGUGCAGCAGUGCCAGUGCAUGGGUAAUAAUGACAUGCAGUGCACCACAAUGCAAUGCGCAGACAAUGAGGUUUGUAAGGUCAAGAAUGGGGUCAAAGGCUGCUUCGCUUUCAAUCCCGCCACCUGCAGUGUGUACGGUGAUCCUCACUAUAUCACCUUUGACGGGAUGGCUUACGAUUUUCAAGGGGGCUGCAGUUACACGCUGACUACCACAUGCGGAGAAGAAAGCUCAGUCCAGUUCAAUGUGAUCGGACAAAACGUGCAGCCUCCACUUCAGAACUACACCCGGUCCAAGCUGGAAGCUGUGGCUCUUCAGGUUGAGGAUCUAUACCUCACCCUGAAUCAAAGCGGAGAGGUCUAUGUGAAUAAUGUCCAUGUCCGACUCCCCUAUUCCACCAAUGGUGCAUACGGAUCAGUAUGGGUCUACACAAAGAAUAAUUAUAUUAUCUUGGAGACGACGUUUGGCCUCAGAAUGAUGAUAGAUGGGCAUUACAGACUCUUCCUGCAGGUGGAUGAGCACUACAAGUUCGAACUGUGUGGAUUGUGUGGCACCUACUCUGAACAACAGGAUGAUGACUUCAUAACACCAGGAGGCCAAAAUGCUACUGGGCCAUUUCAGUUUGGUGAAAGCUGGAGGGUGCCAGGCAAUAAUGAGUGUAUUGCCCAUCCAAAUUAUCCAAGACUCUGUGAUUAUGAUGAGGAGAAUGAGGCCUACAAUGAGUGCUACACGCUACUAGGGGAGGCCUUCAAGCCCUGCCAUGAACCCAUUCACCCAAGCAUCUACCUCAGUAGUUGUGUGUAUGAUUACUGUGCCACAAGUGGUGACCAACAUACCCUAUGCGAAUCUCUGAAGUCCUAUGCAGCAGCAUGCCAGGUUGCAGGAGUGGAGCUGCCCCACUGGGAGACAAACACAGCCUGUGCUGACCCCCCAACCACUGCAUCUCUUCCAACAACUCCAACUCCUACCUCUCCAACAUCAGAUCAGACUUUCUGUCCCAUGAAUUGCGACUUUGAAAAAAAUCUAUGUGGGUGGGAGCAGCUCAUACAGGACAGUUUUGAUUGGACAAGAAAUUCAGGACCCACCCCAUCAGACCUAACUGGCCCAAACCAAGACCACACCACUGGAGCUGGUUUCUACAUGUAUAUUGAGGGAAAUAAUGUAACCCAUGGAGAUUCAGCCCGUCUGUUGAGCUCAGUGUGCCAUUAUAAUGGCCCACUCUGCCUGCACUUCUGGUACCAUAUGUAUGGUUCAGCUGCAGCCACGGCCCUCAAUAUCUUCCUGCUCAAAGACAAUAAAGCUACCAAGCUCUGGUCCAUGAUGAACAACCAAGGACCAGAAUGGCAUCCAGGAAAUCUUGACAUCAAAGUGUCUGGUCCAUUCCAAAUCAUAGUGGAAGGGAUUCGAGGUUCUAAUGCUCAGUCAGAUGUGGCCAUAGAUGACAUUUCCAUCCACUUUGGCUCAUGCUCAGGUAGCUUCCCUGGCCUGGUUAGUGGAACUGAGUUUCCUUCUACAACGGCGGAGGUCCUCCCCUCACACUCAGUCUGCAAUAUUGACUGUAGCUUCGACAGCAACCUUUGUAGCUGGCAUCAGAUGAUCACGGAUGCUUUUGACUGGACAUGGCAAAGUGGUUCCACCCCCACCCUGAUGACUGGGCCCUCUGCUGACCACACUGGUGAUGGCCACUAUCUUUACAUUGAGGCCAGCAGCGUGACACAUGGAGACACAGCUCGUCUCAUUGGCUCUGAGUGUUCUGACUCUGGUCCUCAGUGUCUGCAGUUCUGGUACCACAUGUACGGUUCAGCAGAUACAAUGGGUCUCAAUAUCUACUUGCUCCAAAACAAAGUAGCCAACGCUGUUUGGUGGAAGAGAAAUGACCAAGGAAAUAUGUGGCACCUGGCUCAGGUGGACUUCACAACAACUGGAACUUUCCAGAUCAUCAUUGAGGGGCGUAGAGGCUCCAACGAAGAGUCCGAUGUGGCCAUAGAUGAUGUAAAGCUUUACCGUGGCGCUUGCUCUGAUCUGAAUGUUGUGGUGACAGGUCCACCUAAACCUGAUGGAAACACCACAGCUCCUCCUAGUGUCCCUGUGCCAACUGCUGCAGCUCCAGAGCCUACUCUGGUCAAUGUUACAGCUCAGCCCCCUGUAGCAAAUGUCACCAUACCUCCCGUAGUGGAAGCAACAACCGACUUAAUUAAUGACAAUGUUAUUGAAGCUCUAGAUAAUAGACCGCCACCACACCCAGGAUGCCAACUCCACUGUAAUUUUGAACAAGAUCUAUGUCAGUGGAGUCAAUUUAUUGCUGAUGUUUUUGAUUGGACAAGGCAUAGUGGCUCCACUCCUACUAUGAUGACUGGGCCUUCUUCAGAUCACACCACGGGAGAUGGCCACUAUCUUUACAUCGAAGCCAACAGCGUGUCAUAUGGAGACAUGGCUCGUCUCAUCAGCACUGAGUGUUCUGACUCUGGUCCUCAGUGUCUGCAGUUCUGGUACCAUAUGUAUGGUUCAGCAGAUACAAUGGGCCUCCAUGUCUACUUGUUCCAGGACAGACUAGCUGACGCUGUUUGGUGGAAGAGGAAUAACCAAGGAAAUAUCUGGCACCUGGCUCAGGUGGACUUGACAACAACUGGAGCUUUCCAGAUCAUUUUUGAAGGGCGAAGAGGUUCCAAUGAUCAGUCUGAUGUGGCCAUAGAUGAUUUAUCUCUUCAUCAUGGGCACUGUGCAGAUCUGGCCAAACCAACAACCCCUGCUCCCACAAACUUUGAUCCAGUUGCAACCGAAGGUCCAGAGCUUCCUCCAGCGACUGCUACACAACCACAAACAUCAACGUCAUCACAACCACAGCCACCAUCAACAACUACCUUUACAACAAUGACCACUGCAACAGAAGCCGCAACUGACUGUGAUACACAAACCCCUACAAAACCAGCAACAACUAUAACUCUAAAAACUUUAAAUCCUGAUGUCACAACAACAAGACCCCAGCUACCAAUAACAUCAAGGCCAAUAACAACAGCCACAACUGGACCCCAAACUACAGCUAGACCCCACCCACAAACAACAGAGCACCCAGGAGUUGAAACUUCAGAGCAAACUGUAAUUACAGAAACACUCCAAACAACAGCCAGACCAGAGCAACCAGCUACAUCUACGAAUGAACCCCAAACAACAGCUAGACCCCAACCUCCAACAACAGCUAGACCACAACCUCCGACCACAUCUCAACCAGAGUUACAAACAACAAAUAGACCACGACCUCCAACCACAACGCAACCACAGCCACAAACAACAGCUAGACCACAACCUCCAACCACAGUUAAACCUCAACCCACAACAGCUACACCACAGUCCACACCAACAUUGAGACCACAACCCACAACAACAGCUGGACCCCAACCUACAACAACAGCGACUCCACAACUGUCAACAACAGCUAGACCACAAUCUACAACAACCAUUAAAUCACAUCCAACAACAGGUAGACCUCAUCCUACAACAACAGCUAGACCACAACCACCAACCACACCUGUACCAACACCCUCUUGCCCAGAGAACAGUCAUUACACCACUUGUAUCCCUGCCUGCAGUCCAACCUGUACACACCUGAAUGGCCCACCACGCUGCAGUGACAAUAUGGGUUGUGUGCAGGGAUGUGUAUGUGAUGAAGGCUUUGUGCAGAAAGGGAGGGUUUGUGUGCCUAUCCAAUGGUGUGGAUGUGUGGACAGGAAUGGCACCAAACAUCAGUUCAAUGAAGUGUGGUACACCAAUCACUGCACUCAGAAAUGUGAAUGUAAGAAAAACCAUGGCGUGGGGAAGAUUGACUGUAAUGACAAAGAUGAGUGCGGUCGAAAUGCUGUCUGCCUUCAAAAUGAGGAGGGCGAUUAUUACUGCCAGUCUACAGGAUUCAGUAAGUGCACUAUCAAGGGACGUCCUGACUACAGAACCUUUGAUAAAAUGAAGUAUGACUUUAAGGGUGAGCACUCAUAUGUUCUGGUCCGGACCAACAAAUUGCCAAGUAACCUUCCAGAUGUCUACAUCGAGGGAAUCAAUACACACACCAGACAUUUUGACGAUGAUAGUCAGCAUCAUGGUGACAGCACUAGUGAAGAAGACCACAGUGGCAGAGUCAGGGAUGAAGAUGAUGAUGAUGAUGAUGAUGAUGAUGAUGAUGAUGAUGAAGAAGAUGAUGAAGAUGAUGGUGAUGUUGAUGACAAACAUGAUGACCAUAGUGAAAAGCAUAAGGAAAACCACAGAUUACAAGAGCUUAAGAUCAGAGUGUACAAUCACACUGUGGAGUUCAAGAAGAAUCGAAUGCUGGUCGUGGAUGGAAGGAGAACUAAUACUCCUGUCUCGCCCACUGCUGGUCUAAAAAUCUGGAAGCAUUCCUCUCGCUUCUACCUGAAGACCGAUUUUGGCCUUUCAGUGGAGUUUAGUGGACACAACACAGCAGAGAUCAUUCUACCAGACAUAUAUAAAAGGAAGGUGGGGGGUCUGUGUGGGAACUUUGACGGUCAAAAGCAGAAUGACUGGGUGAAGCCAGAUGGUACCAUGGCCAGGAGUGUUCAAGAGUUUGGAGAGAGCUGGAGAGUGUAAAUAUCAGAUGGAUACAACACACCCUCUCCCAAACCUGAGCCACCAAACAUGACUUGGCACCAGUGGCACUGAUGUCCAGUUUUCUUUACUGUACCUCCAGCUUUUCAGGACCUUGAACUUCUUGCUGUUAUUCAUAAAGUGUAUCAUAGUAAAAAAGACUUCCCUUUUGCACCUCAUUAUUCUGGGGUUUUGCAUUGUUUUAAGAAUCUGUUGUCAAGCUUUCAACUACUUUUAAAAGUUACUCAUCUUUCCACCAUCUUCGCUUUAUUUUCAAAAGAUAUUUGUACUCUGUGACAAUGUAUCGUACUUUACUGCUUGCGUCAUUGCCAUGCAUACUAUUUAGGCUAGUCAAAGGUGAUGUUCUUACAGCUGUGCACAUACUGUAUAUACACAAUAAUGGCCACAUUGAAACAAAACAUCUAAUACAGUGCGUUUAAAUAAUGAUUAUGCAUGACAACAGAUUACUUGUACUCUUGUACUCUACUGCUGGAAAGAAAUUCAAUGUGCAAUAAAUGUUGCUUGGUCAUAAUGUGUACUUGAAUGUCAGUGCAUUGGUAGGUUUUCUAUUGAAUCUUCACUGUGGUGCACUGUGGUUAAAUUUGUGUCGCCAUUAGUCAAGUCAUUUCCGUCUCAAGUGUAGCUACAACAGCAUUCCUGACACAUCUACAGUCUGAAUGUGUAAUCCAUUAUCUACCUGUAGAACUGGAGAAAGUCUAAUCAUUACGGAAAGAAAAAUAUUAUGUAAAGAACUUCUGUAACAUAAUACUCUGUGAAGACAAGGUACAUUUUUCUAGCAGACAAAAGGAUUGUUCUUGUCAGAAGUGUACCUGGGGGUUGUGUGUGUUUGUAAAUGUCUUUGAUGAUCAUAUGCAUGUAUAAAUAAGUCUUGGUUACACUCAGCAUCCACACACAGUCAUGGAUUGGUUUGCAUUGUACUUAUUUCUCCUGUUGGGGUUGCUACCUCUCUAUGAUGCUCAAAUGGCAGCUCCCAGUACCACACCAAAAGGCUGUGCAGGUCCACCCGUGCUGUGUUGCUCUGGUCAAAGCUUUGGUCAAAACUGUUUCAGGGGGUGUUUCUGUGACGAGAUCUGCGUGACAUUUAAAGACUGCUGUCCUGACUACAUCUCAACCUGCACACAACCUUUAACUACUGCACCAACAAGCAGACCCAGCACUACAAACAGCAAAACUACAUCUACAAUGGCAAAUAACGUCAUAACUUCCUCAUCAUCAACAGCACCCAAUACAACAUCUGCACUAUUGAAUGUGAACACAACCUCAGCCUCCAUAGUGUCUGCCACUACAGCAACCAGCCAAACAAGCAGCAAUACUACCUCUAUGCCAGCAGAUAACAGCACAACUUUAUUAGUCUCUGUAAGGACAGAAUCCAGCACAGCAGACAGCAAUACUACCUCAACAGUAGCAGAUAUCAUAACUUCAGCAUCUACAGUCUCUGCUACUACAGCACCCAGCACAACAAACAGAGGUACUACCUCCAUGCUUACAAAUAUCAGCACAACUCAAGCAUCCACAGCCCCUGAUACAACAACACCAAGCACAACAAACAGUUGUAUACCUACACCAGUAGAUUUCAUCCUAACAUCAUCUAUAAUCUCCAUUCGUCCAGCACCCUGAACAACAAACAGCAGUACUACGUCUGCACUACCAGAUAUCAGCAUAACUUCAGCAUUCCCACCCUCUCUUAUUACAGCACCCAGAACUAGGCCUGUCGCGAUUUUUCUUAUGAUAUAUGAACAUGACCUGAUCAUCUUUGCUGACCUCGAUAUUGCCCGUUGUGUUUACAUGUGUGUUUGUUUACGUAAGAAUGUCACCAACAUUUUAGCCAACAUGAUGCCAGAAUAAACAGCAGGGUUUUCCCUACCGUUAUAAGACUUGGGAAUGAGCAGAACUAAACUAUUUCUGGUCGUGCUGCUUCUGUCCUCUCGUCGUCUGCUCUCUGUGUGGAGUUUAAACGUGGGUGGGGCCCAGGCAGCUCCACCACACACACACACACACACAGUUGGCGACUUUCUUGCUAGAUUUAGCGACUAUUUCUAAAAAGCAACUAGCGACAAAUUUAGCGACCUAUUCAGACCAUCAUAAAGGCGAGAAAUAUAUUCAAUCAUAUUAUAUUGUAAUUCAUUCCCAUGCAUGCUGCUCAGAGUAAUCGCAGUUCUCGGAUCUUCUGCUCUUAAAAUGACAAUGAUAUGGUUUAUCGCAAUUAUUGCUGUGACAACAUAUUGUCCAACAAAAGUAGUUAUUGUGACAGGCCUACCCAGAACAAAAAACAGCAGUAGAUCUACAUCGACAGAUAUCCCCCCAUCUUCGUCAUCCGCAGUCUCUUCAACAACAGCACCCAGUACGACAAGCAGCACUACUGCACUAUUAGAUGUGAGCACAAUCUCAGUGUCUACAGUGUCCACAGCUACAGCAGGGACAACACUGACAGAAACCAGUACAACUCUGGAUACUAGUAGUGUCACAUCUUCACCAGCAGAUGGGAGCAAAUCUGGAGUUUCCAACAAAAACACAGAUUCCAGGACCACCACCAGCUCAGAUAAAGAUGCCAAAAUAGUGACUGCUCACUUAAAGGUUUCUGUUUUAUCCAGUAAUGAGGAAAAUGAGGAUGUGAUAGAGGCUUUAUCUAAUUUUGUAUCCCAGACCCUGCUCCAGCCGAACUGUGAGGGCUGCACUUUCACUAUCAGACACAUCAAACCAACCUGAGAAAGAGCCUAUAUGUUUCAGCCAAUGGAAGCAUCAGUGUGGCUACAACUGUGACAAAAGACUGCACAACUCUCAGAAGCAACAGAACCAUCUGUUAAAACUUAAUUAACUGUUAAAGAUCAGUGCCUACUUGAAGCACUGGGUAAUAAAAUGACAUAUUUAUUCAGCACUAUCUGUUGAGAGUAAACCCUUAGAGCAUCUGGCCCAUUUAAACCACAGGGCCCAGUUAAAUUAACUUUGAAACUAAGGCAGCAGGUCAGCUCAGUAAGUUAAGACAAUGUGUCAUUUUAACAAAAACGUUAACAAUUAUUGUGGUACAUACACUAAACUAGGACUGCAACUAACGUUUAUUUUCAUUAUAGAUUAAUCUGUUGAUCAUUUUACCUAAUCAACUACUCAAUUAGUCACUUGGUGUAUGAAAUGUCAGAAAGUGGGGAAAGAUGCCCAUCACAGUUUCUCAAAGCAAAAGAUGACAUCCGACCAAUCCAUCCAAAAACCUAAAGAUAUUCACUUUAUUUUCAUAGAAAUCAGAAUAUUCACAUUUGAGGAGCUGGAACCAGAGAACUUUGGCAUCUUUUCUAAAAGAAAAUUGCUCAAAACAGUUAAUCGAUUAUCAAAAUUGUUGCCAAUACAUUUUCUGUCGACCAACUAAUCAUUUUAUCAAAUACAUGACAGUCUAUAUUCUCGGGAUAUACAAAUAGCCAUUCUCAAAAGCCAUUACUACUUCUUCACAAAUCAUACAUCAAUGACUGAACAACAAAAGUGCAAAACUGGGCAAAUGCCAAAUUACUGAAAGCUCUGAUGGACUCUGUGUCUGUGUGGAGCAGCAAUGACACAGCAGCUUCAUUAGCAGGUAAGCAACAACAUCAACAAGCACACAACAGCUUCAGAGUCCAAACAGUGUGAAUAUAAGUUCAAUUCCAUAACAUCAUCAACUACACAUGGAGUUAAAUACACACAGAGAGCCGCAGAGAGACAUUUAAGCGUCAGGGAAGACACCAAGCAGCGAGACAGACAGACAGACAGAUUUGACUCACGUUCCUUGAAGCCCAUUCAGCUCUCUGUCGUACGGACGUGAAGUGGUCGAUAUCCAUGUGAAAUGAUGUCCCACUGCACUUGUCAUUUAGUUUGUUGACAGAACUCCUCACUUCUUCUCUCCAUCGCUGCUACCGUCGGCCGACGUUAACCGGGAUAACAGUAACCCUGGAAAAGAAGCUAACUCUGUUGCAUUUAGAAGUUAACUUUCUGUCCUCUGCGACUAGCUUGCUUCACCGUUCACUUCAGUUUCUUUUCCAGAAAUGCUGCCCACUGUUUCGCAGUAGCCGCCGCUGAUUCUAAGAGAAUGGGAUCAUUCUUGUCAGGAGCGUAUGUUACUGUCACUGCCACUCUCGCCAUUCAGUCAUGGAUUGGUUUGCACUGUACUUCCUUCUCAUGAUGUCUUUGGCGCCUCUCUACAGUGGCUGCACAGGUCCUCCAGUGCUUCGUCGCUCUGGUCAAAAUAUCAGCUGUAACAGCUGGGAUUGCUCUCCUGACUAUAACUCCACGCGCGCACAACCUUUCACUACUGCACUGCCAUAAUGGAUCCAGUACAACAAAAAGCAGUACCACAUCUGCACCAAUAGAUGGCAGCAAACCCAGAGCAUCAACAGUCUUUGUUACCACAGAAGGGACGACACUGACAGAAACCAGAACGACUCCGGAUUCUAGUAGUGUCACGUCUUCAUCAGCAGAUGGCGGCAUAUGCACUGAUUCCGAUCAAAGGCCAGACUCCAGGACCACCAUCAGCACAGAUGAAGUUUGUAGCCCAGACCCAAGCAGAGCUGUGAAGGCCGCACCCUGAAGAUGAGACACAUCAAACCCACCAUUGGAUCGUCUGGGAGACCGGGCCCGUCGCCAAGAGGAGGCAUUGGGGUGCACUGUCAACUGUUUGAUUGUUUGAUGUGACUGAUGCGCCAUGUACGUAAGGCGCAGCUGGUCCUGAGGAGACAGCCGCGGGAAGGAGAGGUUCUGCACUGCAGCAACCCCCCACCCUUGGGUGGGUGAGGUUUUUUGGCCUAUGUGUGUUGUUUUUUUUUUAUGUCAUGUUACACCCCACCUCUCCCGGGCCCUGUCACCAACGACAUCUUUGUUUUAAAUAUUGCCAGCAGCGCGAGCUUUCCAGAUGGUUUCCUAUAAUAUUUGUCUGUAGACGUAUUGAUCUGUUGUGGCAGGAGGGUUUGGAUCGCCGUCAGUGUGUACUGAUGACUAAAGUAGCCUACAUUUCGUAUUGUCAUAUUGUUUCACAUAACAUCAUGUUGUUCUGUCGAGAUGUGAUUUACACUGUUGCAAGGGUAAUAUUAAAGUCUUUUGCACGAAAGUGUAUAACUGUAAUGCUGUGGUUCUAUCGGCUAAAUGACAAAUGUGUUGACUAAGAAAAUCAUAUCCCAUCGAAAAAAUAUUGUGAAUCUUGCCCAUGAUCCUCAUCAUGAUGUAACAGCCUCUCACAAAAUUAAAUAAACGUACUCAAUUCCUCCCCGAAUAUGAAAUAUAUGAAAUAAAAUGUAAAUAUCGAUUACA